CUCUGAUGUCUCCUACUGAAAGAGAAGGAAGAUAAAGAAAGAAAAGGCACAUGAAGGGAAGCGGAGUUUCUGCGCUCGAGCGCAGGUGAGCGCGUUAUCUGGUCGCUACGUUUACGUUCAUCCGAGACGAUGCAUUCAAUGUUGCGGGCCAGUGCGGUCGGGAGGUUAUCCGAGUAAGCGAAUGGUUACGCGUGACAAUGAACCUGGGCGGUGGGCCAUGUAACGGAGGACGGACGGCCGCCGUAACGCUCCUGGAGUUGAGCCGUGGACCUGGAAGCUGCCCGACGUCCUGUUCCGUGGUUCAGGAAAGUACCUUUUCCGUCCAUCCCAGGUACAGUAGGUGUUAAUUGCUACGGCGAGCGGUGGGAGCUGCCGAGUCCAUCCACUCACCCCAAGAACAGAGCUGGCGGCAGAGGAAGCUGUCGUCGUCCAUCCACUACACCCACUUCUACGAUUCAGUCCGAGUAAGCUGCCCUCGUUGCGGCCAUGGAAUUCCUGAUGCAGCCCAUUCGCAGGACGACAGUGCUAUAGGAGGUUAACGACAGUGAAAUCCCCCUGGAGCCACUGAGAUACCCGGUGCCAGUGCAGCUGGUGGAGUAGCAGCAAUCGAUGGUGGAAGCAGGGAGCGCGAAUGGCCAGAUCUGCGCUCAGCAGGGGAGGAUGGCGGCGGAGGGAGCGGAUCCUCCACCGGCGUCUGGACUGUCGGCUUGAACGGUGAACCCGCAGGCCCUAGGCUAGCGGAAAAAGGGUGCGAGUUGGUGCUGCUGCUCCAGGAAGAACGCGUGUCCGGACCGCACGUCGGCAUUGGAGAAAACGAUCCGGUCUUUUGCAGAUAAUCUGGUCUUUUGGAGGAACGAGUUUUGACUCGCUGGGGAAGUGAAUGCACGUGAUAAACGCAGAUGAAGACGCAAUCAGUGGUAACAACAAAGCAGUGCUUUUUUUAACACAAGGAAGGCGCCAGCAAGCACCAAAUUUUGAUUCAACUCAUAGGCAAUGUACAACAUGUAUUACAUAUCCCUGUAUCUGGAAAUUGAGAAAGGAGAGCAAAACAGGGCAAGAGCCAUUGGUAUGAGCAGAAUGAGUACAAUUGAAAACAUGUUCUACUCUUGAGUUGAGUACCUGAUGAGCAUAGUUGUGAGCAAUUCCAUUAGUAUUCCUAGAGAUGUGGUAAACAGCAAAAUGGAAUUGUGAAGUGUCUUGAAAGAACUCGCUAAUAGGUUGUCUGCAUCUCCAAGUACUGAUGGGGUUGUUGAUAUCUCUGGAUGCAACCACCUUGGCCAAAGAAAGAUUGUCUGUAAGGAAAGUAAUCCGCUGAAGUUGAAGCCUACAAGCAACCUUUGCAGCAAACUGAAGUGCAAGAGGUCCAGUGACGAGAGGCGAGGCAGCAGAGUCAGUAGAAGCUUGGAUCAUAAUCAUCGAAUCUGUCCAGUCGCCAUCAAAUCCCCCUGACCUGGUAUGUUCUUUUUCUUCCAAGACUCUUCAAUUGCUAAAUCAGACUUGAGUGUACAACCUUGCUGGACAUUUUCAUGGCAUUGAGGGAACAUGGUAGAAGACUCAUCAGGAGGAGCAGGUUGGCUUCCUGGAUUAUGUUGUUGGGUGUCCUGCAUAAUUUGAGUUGAUGCAAUGGCAAGCGCAGCCUGAUGAACCUGAUGCAGAUACGAGGUUUUCCUGCAAAACAGAGUAUCGUUUCUUGCUUUCCAUAAACGCCACAAGAAAGUAAAUAUGUUAGGGACCGAAGCUUGUGGGCGAUUCAUGUUAAUUAGAGCCAAAACAAUAUCAGCAACAGAAUUAUGAGGUUGUGCAAGAAGGUCAGAUUUUAUAUACCAAGGAUGUCCAAAUCAAGCGGCUCUAGAAGAACUGCAAAGAAUCAACAAUUCAGAUGGCAGGAUUAUUUCCCCCAGCUAAAAGGAAGUAGAUUGGAUGACCGACAACCAACAGGCGGAAGGCGCCAUACAAAGAUUUGAGUAAGAGGUCCAGAUUUUGCACUAUUUGUUAGAAACAGGGGCACAAAGUGGACCACCUGCCCGGAUAGAGGAGACAUGUUGAAGCAGCCGCACAAACAGCAAGAUGCAAGAAUUGCAGGGUGGAGGGCCACAGGAGGAACUACUGCACUAGGGCUGGUGAACUGUGCAUGCAACUAGGAGGCUGAAGAAUUGUACUCCCUCCGUUCCUAAAUAUAAGUCUUUGUAGAGAUUGCACUAGGUGGACUACAUACGGAAUAAAAUGAGUGAAUCUAAACUUAAAAUGCAUCUAUAUACAUCCGUAUGGGGUUUAUAGUGCAAUCUCUACAAAGACUUACAUUUAGGAACGGAGGGAGUAGGCUACAGGUACUCACGCUUAAAAUCUUUGACAAGGAGAAAUUUUUGUAGGCUAUGUUCUGAAAUUUAUAGUUUUCAUGCCGAUGACCUGGUAUGU